UACGGAGGGUGCAAGCGUUAUCCGGAUUCACUGGGUUUAAAGGGUGCGUAGGUGGGAAUGUAAGUCAGUGGUGAAAUCUCCGUGCUUAACACGGAAACUGCCAUUGAUACUAUGUUUCUUGAAUUAUCUGGAGGUCAGCGGAAUAUGUCAUGUAGCGGUGAAAUGCUUAGAUAUGACAUAGAACACCAAUUGCGAAAGGCAGCUGGCUACAGGUGGAUUGACACUGAGGCACGAAAAGCGUGGGGAUCAAACAGG
rnacentral:rRNA from 1 species